rnacentral:rRNA from 1 species
CGGACAGAGCUGGCGUAUCUGGCCUGUAUUCAGCUGUGGGCUUGCUGGCGUCAUGGAUGCCUAUCUCCAGAUUGGGACGGUGCCUUUCUGCUGGUGAGUCUGCGGUGCAUUUGCAGGUGGAGUGCGCUGAGGCGCUCGGGUCAGCGGCAUGAGCUCGGCUCUGAGGCCAGCCCCGCAAGGGGUCUGGUACCCGGGUCGUGGGAGUGCUGUUUGGCCUGGGUGUUUGGUUGAUGGGCAAUGGAAUCGGGCCCGGGUGGGUGCCGAGCUGGCAGUCGGUGGCGGUCGCAUGCGACACGUACCAGCGGUCAGUUCGGUCCUGCUCGAGCUCUCAUCUGCCCGGCCUCGGUGUAAAAGCCGGUCAUCUGUCCGACCCGUCUUGAAACACGGACCAAGGAGUUUAGCGUGUGCGCGAGUCAUUGGGCGUUGAAAACCCAAAGGCGCAAUGAAAGUGAAGGUCUCCCUUGUGGAGCUGAUGUGUGAUCCUGGGCACUGCGGUGCUGCCGGGCGCAACAUAGUCCCGUACCGACCGCUUGCGGUGGUGCGGAGACAGAGCGCACGCGCUGAG